CAAAAUAAAAAUGGAAGUUUUCCGGAAAAUCUUGUCUGUCUUGGGGACCAUUUGGCGCCCCUCUGGGAGUGGCGCCCGGGACAUGAUCCCUUGCUCCCCUCUCGCUACGCCACUGGCCAUAAGCUGUCCAAGCCUGGGAGGAGUUAGCCGGAUUAUGGAGAGAGGAAAUCAUUGGGCCGGGUUUAGACUCCGAAUAAUUUUUCAAGGGGAUAGGACCGAGGGGUAUAUGCUGCUCUUAACAAAAAUUCUCCCUCUAGACCAGUGGUAUUAAAUAUUCAAGUAAUCGGAAUAUUUUAAUAAUAACAAUUUUGCGAUAAAUUAAACAACUUGG
rnacentral:lncRNA from 1 species